AUUGAACGCUGGCGGCAGGCCUAACACAUGCAAGUCGAACGGUAGCGCCAUGCUUGCUUGUCUUUAGAGCGGCGGACUGGUGGGUGAUUCCUAUGAAUCUCCCUGUCUUUUUUUUAUAACGUUCUGAAACAGACGCUAAUACCGCAUUCUUCCUACUGCAGUAAGCAGGUGAGCUUCGGAUCUUGCGCUCUCAUGUGAUUCUAUGUGGGGUUAGCUAGUUGGUGGGGUAAUGGGUCACCAAGGCGACGAUCCGUAACUGGUCUGAGAGGAUGAUCAGCCACACGGGAACUGAGACACGGUCCAGACUCCUACGGGAGGCAGCAGUGGGGAAUAUUGGACAAUGGGCGAAAGCCUGAUCCAGCCAUGCCGCGUGUGUGAAGAAGGCCUUCGGAUUGUAAAGCCCUUUAGGUGGGGAGGAAGGGCAGUUGCCUAAUACGCAGCUGGUUUGACGGUACCGAAAGAAUAAGCACCGGCUAACUCCGUG
rnacentral:rRNA from 1 species